GACGAACGCUGGCGGCGUGCUUAACACAUGCAAGUCGAACGGAAAGGCCCUGCUUUUGCUGGUUGCUCGAUUGGCGCACGGGUGAGUAACACGUGAGUAACCUGCCCUUGACUUUGUGAUAACUUCAGGAAACUGGGGCUCAUACCCGAUAUGAGCUCCUGCUGCAUGUUGUUGGUUGGUAAGUUUCGGCGGUUGUGGCUGGACUCGCGGCUUAUCAGCUUGUUGGUGAGGUAGUGGCUUACCAAGGCUUUGACGGAUAGCCGGCCUGAGAGGGUGACCGGGGACAAGGGGACUGAGAUACGGCCCAGAAGCGUACGGGAGGCAGCAGUGGGGAACAUGGCAGAGUGGGCGGAAGUCAGAGACAAAAACGUCGGGUGCGGGAUGACGGGCUUCGGGGGAUAAACAGCUGUGGAAGGUAACGAAGAGUGAGUGACGGUAACGGGUAAAGAAGCAACGGCUAACUACGUG
rnacentral:rRNA from 1 species